AGAGUUUGAUCCUGGCUCAGGAACAACGCUGGCGGCGUGCCUAAUGCAUGCAAGUCGUACGGGAGCCGCUUUGGCGGUCGACCGUGGCGGACGGGUGAGUAACACGUGGGUAACCUGCCCCGGCGCGGGGGAUAACCGCGGGAAACCGUGGCUAAUACCCCAUGGGCUCGGUUGGGGGGUGGCCUGAUCGAGCAAAGGCGGAAGCCGUGCCGGGAGGGGCCUGCGGCCUAUCAGCUAGACGGUGGGGUAAUGGCCUACCGUGGCGAUGACGGGUAGCUGGUCUGAGAGGACGAUCAGCCACACGGGGACUGAGACACGGCCCCGACUCCUACGGGAGGCAGCAGCAAGGAAUUUUCCGCAAUGGGCGCAAGCCUGACGGAGCGACGCCGCGUGGAGGAUGACGCCCUUCGGGGUGUAAACUCCUUUUCGGGGGGACGAAGGCAGUGACGGUACCCCCGGAAGAAGCACCGGCUAACUACGUGCCAGCAGCCGCGGUAAGACGUAGGGUGCGAGCGUUGUCCGGAGUUACUGGGCGUAAAGGGCGCGUAGGCGGCUGCCCGCGUCGCACGUGAAAGCCCCCGGCUCAACCGGGGAGGGUCGUGCGAGACGGGGUGGCUAGAGGCAGGGAGAGGCUGGUGGAAUUCCCGGUGUAGCGGUGAAAUGCGUAGAGAUCGGGAGGAACACCGGUGGCGAAGGCGGCCAGCUGGCCCUGACCUGACGCUGAGGCGCGAAGGCGCGGGGAGCGAACGGGAUUAGAUACCCCGGUAGUCCGCGCAGUAAACGCUGUGGACUAGUGUGGGAGGUGUUGACCCCUUCCGUGCCGGCGCUAACGCAGUAAGUCCACCGCCUGGGGAGUACGGCCGCAAGGCUAAAACUCAAAGGAAUUGACGG
rnacentral:rRNA from 1 species